rnacentral:rRNA from 1 species
UACAGAGGUCUCAAGCGUUGUUCGGAUUCAUUGGGCGUAAAGGGUGCGUAGGCGGCGCGGUAAGUCGGGUGUGAAAUCUCGGGGCUUAACUCCGAAACUGCAUUCGAUACUGCCGUGCUUGAGGACUGGAGAGGAGACUGGAAUUUACGGUGUAGCGGUGAAAUGCGUAGAUAUCGGGAGGAACACCAAUGGCGAAGGCAGCUUGCUGGGACGGUACUGACGCUGAGACGGCGAAAGCGUGGGGAGCAAACAGG